UAUGGGGGGGGCGAGCGUUGUUCGGAAUUACUGGGCGUAAAGGGUUUGUAGGUGGCCAACUAAGUCAGACGUGAAAUCCCUCAGCUUAACUGGGGAACUGCGUCUGAUACUGGUUGGCUUGAGUGCAGGAGAGGAACGCGGAAUUCCAGGUGUAGCGGUGAAAUGCGUAGAUAUCUGGAGGAACACCGGUGGCGAAGGCGGCGUUCUGGACUGCAACUGACACUGAGGAGCGAAAGCCAGGGGAGCAAACGGG
rnacentral:rRNA from 1 species